AUUGAACGCUGGCGGAAUGCUUUACACAUGCAAGUCGAACGGCAGCACGGACUUCGGUCUGGUGGCGAGUGGCGAACGGGUGAGUAAUGUAUCGGAACGUGCCCAGUCGUGGGGGAUAACGUAGUGAAAAUUACGCUAAUACCGCAUACGAUCUAUGGAUGAAAGCGGGGGAUCGCAAGACCUCGCGCGAUUGGAGCGGCCGAUAUCAGAUUAGGUAGUUGGUGGGGUAAAGGCCCACCAAGCCAACGAUCUGUAGCUGGUCUGAGAGGACGACCAGCCACACUGGAACUGAGACACGGUCCAGACUCCUACGGGAGGCAGCAGUGGGGAAUUUUGGACAAUGGGCGAAAGCCUGAUCCAGCCAUUCCGCGUGCAGGAUGAAGGCCCUCGGGUUGUAAACUGCUUUUGUACAGAACGAAAAGGUUUCUACUAAUACUAGGAGCUCAUGACGGUACUGUAAGAAUAAGCACCGGCUAACUACGUGCCAGCAGCCG
rnacentral:rRNA from 1 species